UACAGAGGUCUCAAGCGUUGUUCGGAUUCAUUGGGCGUAAAGGGUGCGCAGGCGGUCGGGUGUGUCAGAUGUGAAAUCCCGAGGCUCAACCUCGGAACUGCGUCUGAAACUACUCGACUAGAGUACUGGAGAGGGUAACGGAAUUCACGGUGUAGCAGUGAAAUGCGUAGAUAUCUGGAGGAACACCGGUGGCGAAGGCGGCAUUCUGGACUGCAACUGACACUGAAAGACGAAAGCCAGGGGAGCAAACGGG
rnacentral:rRNA from 1 species